GGUAAAUUUUGUCAAGAUUGAUCAAAAAGAGAGAAAACAAGAUCCACAAUUCAACUUGAAGCUCCAUCAAACAAACCGCAGCUCUUUCUGUAUUCUCCUCCUUCCUCAUGUCCUCUUUUUCUGUUCUCAACUUCUCACCAUUCUCUGUCUCUGUUCUCACAUGUCGACGGCUCCACGCAUGCCGGUAUGGUACUGUACUCAUCUAUCCUCAAUUAUCAAUGUCCACCGCUGCUCCUCCUACUUCCAGUUCCUGCUGUUCCUCCUACUUACUGCCGAAGGACGAUGAUCGUGAGUAUUCAUCUGAAGGGCUUUCAUCAGUAGCAGGAGGCGUAGUAGCACUGGGAAAGUUUGAUGCCCUGCAUAUUGGUCAUCGGGAACUUGCAAUUCAAGCUUCUAAAGCUGGCACCCCAUUUCUUUUGUCAUUUGUAGGGAUGGCAGAAGUGCUGGGUUGGGCACCUAGGGCUCCUAUUGUUGCGAAAUAUGACCGCCAACGAGUUCUUUCUUCCUGGGCUCCAUUUUGUGGUAAUGUUCCUCCAAAAGAAUUCUUGAUUGACUUUGCAAGUGUUAGGCAUCUCAGUCCUCGGCAGUUUGUGGAAAAGUUGUCUAAGGAGCUCGGUGUACUUGGAGUUGUGGCAGGAGAAAAUUAUAGGUUUGGAUAUAAAGCUGCUGGUGAUGCGACUGAGCUGGUUAGGUUAUGUGACGAGCAUAAUAUACGUGCUUUUAUCAUAACUUCUAUCUUGGACAAGAAUCAAGGCGUAAUUGACCCGGCCAUUCUUGAUAAUAAGGAGAGAGGGCAAGUUUCAUCUACACGUGUAAGGUAUGCUCUAAGCAAAGGAGAUAUGAACUAUGUUUCUGAGCUUUUGGGUCGUCAUCAUCGUCUCAUCUUGUCAACUGAAAAAAAGGAAGAGUUUGUUAUCUCCGAAAAUGGCCUUUUUGCUCCAAAAUCAUUUUUGCUAAACCUACCUCCUAAAGAUGGUUUGUACGAGAAUUGUGCCGUUAUAGUUGAUGAAAAUCAAUUGCCAUGUAGGGUGGUCAUUGAUUCGACACACAUCCACAUAGAAACAAUUGAAAAGAAUUUGCGUGCUCAAGAUGCCUAUAAUACACGGCAGUUUGUAGGCAUCGAGUUUAGGUGCUAACUUAGUUGAUUCCAGAAUUCAUUGAAUUUAAAUGAUUGGGUUUACAAUGAUCAUGUAUGAAGUUGCGGAUUGAAGCGAGGGUGAUGCAAUUCACCAAAAUCCUUAUUUUCUUAUGCCCACUGGGGCUCCAAAUGGGUUAUACUCCGAUGAGUAUUGCCAUAUUUGUGUUGAACAUUGAGAUGAUGGUCCUCCGACUAGCAAAUUGGCUUGAAAUGACAAUAGUUUCAAUUGGAUUGCAAGGAGCUUUGGUUGAUUGAUACACGAUCCCUAGUCUGCCUUCAUUGAGGCAUGAAUUCUAAAUCCUACUCCGUUCUCGUUGAUGCAUGAAGCCUACUUUCCUUUGGAUUUGUUUCCAUAAAAAGAAUCUGAUGCUCCAACAGUAUUUCCAAUGCCUGGACAUAAACAGAAACAUAAACAAAAUUAUGAAAGUUGCGUACAUACUAACAGAAAAACGAGACAACAACAAUGGCAAAACGCAAGACAACAGCACUGACAGAACAACGAGGCUGCAGUGUGACAGAACACAAGACAGAGGCACUGAUAGUACAACGAAACAGCAGCACUGACAGCGCACGAGACAUCAGCACUGACAGAACAAUGGGAAAACAGCUACAAACAACGAUUUCAUAACAUAAUUUAUUCAAAGGCAGACGUUCAGUUAAAGGAGAUUCACAAAGAGUCGUGAGUUUUGGAAAGUCCACCAACCUUCUUACGGUAUGCUAAUUCCGCUGCAGCAGACCAAUCUACAGCAGACUAACAAGUCUGAAAAUAUGGAAUGCAUCAAAUAAUUAUUCAAAAUCUUGGUAUUAAUUAGGUAUACUGAUCGGUCAAGGCUAAAUGCAGAAGAAUAUUCAAUCCAAACACUACAAAGUAGGCAAUUACCUGUGAAUAUGCAAGAGGAGCUUCUUUUUGCUGAUUUGUAUUUGUUCCGUUUGUGACAACAGUUGCACUGAGUAGGCUUUGGCCUCAAAAGCAUGAGAGCAGGCCUUCAAUAUCGAUGCUGAUUCGAAUUUAUUCCUUUCAAAACAGUAUGUGGUCUCCCUUAUUGCACCUGGCGUAACUCCGCAACAACGGUAGUUAGCUUUUGAUCUGCAUAUAUUUGAGGAACGGAAAGAUGUAACACAAAAGCCAUUUGGCAACAAAAGCACCAGCCAGCACUUAAAGUCAAUACCACAAUAAGAGCCAAUUCAAGGUAGACUGCCUUAUAUCAAAACAAUCAAAACAUUGAUACCAACCUGAUGCGAUUAUGCGUGUGAAAUGAUGAACUUUAUACGCACAAUCACAAUGUGAUUCAAACCAGGGAUAUUCCAAGAUUGCUAUGCAAU